CGGCAACGGAUAUCUCGGCUCUCGCAUCGAUGAAGAACGUAGCGAAAUGCGAUACUUGGUGUGAAUUGCAGAAUCCCGUGAACCAUCGAGUCUUUGAACGCAAGUUGCGCCCGAAGCCUUCGGGCCGAGGGCACGCCUGCCUGGGCGUCACGCAUCGCGUCU
rnacentral:rRNA from 1 species